UAACUCACACGCUUUGUCUUGCACAAAGAAUUUCUUUUAAUUCAAAAGUGCGUCUGGUGUGUUCGGCAUAACUCGCAAAAUAGUUUAUAUUAUAUAUUACCCACCAUACUUUUGUAUUCAUUCAGGAACACCGUUAUAUUCGAAUUAGUUGAACGUUUUGGAUAAUCUGUCUAUUCUGGUGGUGGUCCUUUUAAUUAAACACUGUCUUAAGCAUGCAGGUAAGGUGUUUCAGAUAACGCAUCAAAUUUUGCCAAAACAUUCCAGAAUUUUAAAACGGUUACUUUGAAAAAUGUACUGAUGUACACAACAAUACGCAAAAUUUUUAUAAUAAUUUAUAAAUUACAUACGAGUAAAGGUCCAGGCACAGCGGACGCGAUUCGACAACGCGACGCGAUUUUUCGAUUUUCAGUGACUGAUAACUUUGAUCCAAGUUUGAAUUUUCCAAAUAUUUAGAAGCUCUAUAACAUUUUGAGUUAUUUGGUCUACAUAUCUUUCAAAAUUUGUUCCCAUUGGCUGUUUUAUUAACUUUCAAAAACUAAAAAGUCGCGUCGCGUUGCCGAAUCGUGUCCGAUGUGUAUGGACCUUAACAUUUACAAAUUAUAUGUGAGCUAUAAAAGAACGAACUAACGCAAACCUGCCGUAUUUAACAUAUAGGAAUACGUUUACGAAAUUAUUUUGAUAGAGAACUCAUCACUUAAUGUAAUAUGUGAUAAUUUUUCCUAUAAUUUUUAAUCAUCCCAUUUGUUUCUAAUUAGUUUUCUACUUUCAUUAUCAAUUGUUCUUAUGUACAAAGCCUAUUUUAUUAUUGAACACUUAAUCUAGUGGCCUCAACCAAAAGUCCAACAGGAUUUACAAAAGUCCCGGCAUAUGUCGUUAUACUAUAUCAUGAUUAUAAAUGAUUUAUUACUUGUAAAUAUUCUUUGUGGCACGAACAUCACAAUGGCCGUGAAAUAGAAUCGAAAUAUUACCUUGAAUUUCGUGUUUGUUUUUUUAAGCAACGUGUAUGUUGUGUUCACAACGUUUGAAAAGUUUACAAAGUUUGUUCUAUUCAGGGACGCCGGAUAGAUAGGGCAGAUAUUCAUAUAUUCGUGUUCACAGAUUGUAAAAAAACAAUCGCUUUCAAAGGAAAUAAGUGAUGCCGAACAUGAAUAUAUGAAUAUCUGCCCCCCCCCAACCCCAUUAUCGAGUUUCCGGCGUCCUGGUUCUAUUUAUCAGUAUUUUAGUCGCGCCAUACAUAACGGGCCAGUAGACUCAAUACUUUAAUUAAUAAUCAAUCUAUUUUUGAAUUGAUUAUAGAUUACCAAAAAGAUCUUUCAUAUGUACAUUUCCUAUACAUGCCUACUUGGCAUCGUUAUAUCAUUCAGCAAAGGU